UUGCCGAGGUCUGGCUGGAUGAGUAUAAGGAGCUGUUCUAUGGCCAUGGAGACCACCUCAUCGACCAAGGGCUAGAUGUUGGCAACCUCACCCAGCAAAGGGAGCUGCGAAAGAAACUGAAGUGCAAAAGUUUCAAAUGGUACUUGGAGAAUGUCUUUCCUGACUUAAGGGCUCCCAUUGUGAGAGCUAGUGGUGUGCUUCCUUUUUCUUCAUCCAAGAAAUUCUUUUAAAAUGUGACCAUUAGUUAUCCUGCCCUUUUAGGCCAAAUUUUUUCAGUUCUUCUAGAGAGUGGAUUAUACCAUGCUUUCCGUCUGGAAAAUCUCCUGAUAGCAAAAACUUAUUAUAAUAUUCCCCCUUGAAAGUAUUCGGGAAAUCCAGGAAAGCUAUGAAAGACAAGAAACUAGUCUUAAAAAAUGGUUCUGUUUUUUACAAAAUUCAACUGAUAAAUAAGUAUAUGUGACCUGUUUUUAGGUAACGCACUGUAUUAUAAAAUUGCCAUUUUUAUGGGUCCAAAUAGAAUGGCAGCUACUUUAAGUGGCUCAACCUGGUAACUUAUCAGACAUUUGGAUUUAUAUACACUGUUCAAAUAACAACAUGUCAAAUAUAACUGUAAAAUAAAUUUACAAUUUUUAAUUUCAACCGCUGAGCAGAAAAAAAAAGAA
rnacentral:sRNA from 1 species